GCGAUGAUGGUGCAACGGUUAGCAUGCGUUCCCGGAAAAAGAGAUCUGGGUUCGAGUCCCGCCUGAUGUUUGCA